rnacentral:rRNA from 1 species
UACGUAGGGGGCAAGCGUUGUCCGGAAUCAUUGGGCGUAAAGCGCGUGUAGGCGGCUAGGCAAGUCUGCUGUGAAAGUCCAGGGCUCAACCCUGGGAUGCCGGUGGAUACUGUCGAGCUCGAGUCCGGAAGAGGCGAGUGGAAUUCCUGGUGUAGCGGUGAAAUGCGCAGAUAUCAAGAGGAACACCUGCUGCGAAGGCGGGUUGCUGGGCCGACACUGACGCUGAGGCGCGAAAGCCAGGGGAUCGAACGGG